GAUCCUGGCUCAGGAUGAACGCUAGCGGCAGGCUUAACACAUGCAAGUCGAGGGGCAGCGCGUUGUAGCAAUACGAUGGCGGCGACCGGCGAAAGGGUGCGUAACGCGUGAGCAACCUGCCCGUAUCCGGGACAUAAGCGGUGGAAACGCCGUCUAAUUUCCCAUAACAACGAGGGCCGCAUGGUCCAUGUUUGAAAGAUGCGUCGGAUACGGAUGGGCUCGCGAGACAUUAGCUAGUCGGCGUGGUAACGGCACACCGAGGCGACGAUGUCUAGGGGUUCUGAGAGGAAGGUCCCCCACACUGGAACUGAGACACGGUCCAGACUCCUACGGGAGGCAGCAGUGAGGAAUAUUGGUCAAUGGGCGCAAGCCUGAACCAGCCAAGUAGCGUGCGGGAUGAAGGCCCUACGGGUUGUAAACCGCUUUUUCACGGGGAUAAAGAGGGCCACGCGUGGCCCGUUGCAGGUACCGUGCGAAUAAGGACCGGCUAAUUCCGUGCC
rnacentral:rRNA from 1 species